GACGAACGCUGGCGGCGUGCUUAACACAUGCAAGUCGAACGGACAGACAGAGAGCUUGCUCUCUUGAAGUUAGUGGCGAGCGGGUGAGUAACGCGUAAUCAACCUGCCCUUCAGAGGGGGAUAACAACGGGAAACCGUUGCUAAUACCGCGUACGAUUCAUGAACGGCAUCGUUUAUGAAUGAAAGGUGGCCUCUAUGUAUAAGCUAUCGCUGAAGGAGGGGAUUGCGUCUGAUUAGCUAGUUGGAGGGGUAACGGCCCACCAAGGCAAUGAUCAGUAGCCGGUCUGAGAGGAUGAACGGCCACAUUGGGACUGAGACACGGCCCAAACUCCUACGGGAGGCAGCAGUGGGGAAUCUUCCGCAAUGGACGAAAGUCUGACGGAGCAACGCCGCGUGAGUGAUGAAGGUCUUCGGAUUGUUAAGCUCUGUUAAUCGGGACGAAAGAGUUCUGCGUGAAUAAUGCAGAAAAGUGACGGUACCGGAAUAGAAAGCCACGGCUAACUACGUGCCAGCCGCCGCGGUAA
rnacentral:rRNA from 1 species